UCUCCGCAACAUUUUCUCUAAUAGAGAUGUUACUGUCGAUUCGGGAGGACUACGUGCUGCCACUUCAGUCGCCAAGUUUCCUGCAGCAGCAUCACAGGGCCUGCAAUAUGUGAGGUUCAAGAUGGUUCCGUGUGGAGCAAAUCUACCACAUACACAUCCACGAGCUUCAGAAAUGCUUACUCUUAUCUCAGGAGGGCCUCUUCAAGUUGGUUUUGUUGACACUCAAGGUCAAGCUUUCAUCGAUAUUUUGCAUCCUGGAGAUGUCACCAUAUUUCCGAGGGGGACACUGCAUUUUGAGCUUAAUGUUGGAACUGAAGAAGCUAAUUAUAUCUCUGCUCUCAACA